AAUUCGGUGUACACCUUGUGGAACCCUCUUUUCCUUUUUCUGGCUAUUUGAUUUUUGCCCAUACAGAUCUGAAUUGAAGGUUGCCUGAGUUGUAUAUCUUGGUUUCCUGCAUUUCAACUAUUAAUGUGACUAUAACUUUUUUGCUUCAUGGUCUGAGUAUUUUCAAAAGAAUACAAAAUGGAGUUUAGGAGAUUGUAGUUUUUGUGAUGGAGGAAGGAGAUUCUCCUGUAAGAUGCUCAAAUAUGUAAUUGCAUAAUAACUGAAGACACUCCACUCGCACCAAUGAAAAUUAUGACAAAGCUUAAUUGAAUCAAUUCUCGAAAAAGCGUCUAGGUUACACAAAUUCCUAAUCUGCAUGAAUGACUCAUGCAUCACGUGUCAGCGCACCUCUGGAAAGUGGAUGAGGUGUCCACGGCUUAAGCACCUUGUUAUGCCUGCUUGGGAAAAACUAAAAAAGCCAGCAAUAUGCAGGGCUAUUCGUACAUGGGAAGAUCUUGAAUCACUGAUGAUGCCUAGUAUAGAAACAUCUGCAUAUGUCAUCAAGAAAAUUGCAAGAUUAUGGGGCACUGUGAUAUUCUUUUUGCAUCUACACUGGUAUCAUUUCUUCCUAACUUGAAAGUGGUGAGUGUGAGGUGCACAAUGUUAUCUAAAAGUGCCUUGUUUACAUUCUUGGACGGGUUAAAAAAUUUGGAAGUGCUCAACAUAUCUCAUUGUGACCUAGACGCUUUUUCGAGAAUUGAUUCAUCAAGCUUGGCCAGAAUUUUCUUUGGUGCAAGUAUGAAGAAGACCUCUGGAAAGUGGAUGAGGUUCAGUUGCAGCCACAGGGUGCGAAUGUUGGUGGUGUGAACCAGUUCAGGCUUCUUGUUCCAUUGGAGAAUGAAUCGACAAAAUCCGCAAAGAGGAAAGAAAUUCAAAUCCUUUACACAUGUAAAAUAUAUACAUACAUUCAGGUACUUUUAGAUAGAAAGUGUAGCUAUUAUUACUAAAUAUGAUACUUGUAGCUAUUCAAUUCCAAUAACUCUUUAAAUGUAGCUAUUUAUGUAAGUUCCUUAUUUAAAAAAAGUGCAGAAUUUCAUCUA